rnacentral:lncRNA from 1 species
GAAGGUGUGAAGUAACACAGCGGAAGCUCUAUGUGCUGCUUCAGCUACUUCCAUUAGGCAGUAGAAAACUUGGUCGUCAGGGUCGGUUGUGCGGAAGAAGCUCGGUAGAUCUCUCAGACGGAUGUCCUUCAUCCCUGGAACUUCAAAGGGUGUCUCCAAAUAUCCAUUUGUCAGAUAGCUGUCAUCUGCAAUUAAUGAAAUAAUUGAAAUUAAUAAGCAGUUUGUUAAUGACGUACAAUAGAAUACAUGAUGUUUGAUUAUAAAUUGGUAAGCUAAUUAAUUAAUAAGUUACCCUUGAAGGGAGUGAUUCCUUGGUCCAAGAGAGGUUUGAACUGCUUAAACCCCAUGAAGCCACAAGCAGCAAAGCUCCAAUAGGCGACAGAAGGGAUACCAAACUCACGAGCAACAUCGACAGCAAAAGCCAUGGUGUCAGUGACGAUGCAGGUGACAGGAGGAGCACCAUUGGAGUGUUGGGGAUCGUUGAGCUUGGCAACGAGGUCCCUGAAAGGAGAAAUCAUGAAAUUGCGGAUGGAGUUGCAUAUAGCAGGGACGUCCUGAGUGGAGUCAGGAUUGUCGGAUGGAGGGAGACCAUCAGGAAUGGAAGUGAAUCGGAAGUCAGGGAGGCCGUCGAGAGCAUGAGGUCCUUUGGUUCUAAGGAAGCGGUUGUGGUUGUACUCGUUGUUGACAAAAGUGAUAUGGAAUCCUCUGUUGUGGAGUAGCUUGGCGAAUUUCAAGGUGGCCUUGAUGUGGCUCUGGCUUGGGAA